ensembl:lncRNA
UAGCUGACAAGUGGGAGACUGAUAUUCACGUUGUGGUGAACCAAGCAGGUGACUUGCCUGUCUACAGUAUAAAACCCCUAACGAAAGAGGGCCCAGUCCGCACAGUCCACCGCGAUCUCUUGCUCCCUUGUGGUUUUCUUGCCCCUGUUGAGGAGAAACCUGUCCAACCAACUCAUGUACGCAAACCAAAAACAAGGCAAUCACCUAAACAACAUGAGGAAUGUGAUCAUUCGGAACUGGAGGAUGAGGAUGUCUGUUGGUUCAGAGAGGAACCUAUUCAAGAGCCCAUAAAGGUCACUCGAGUCUAUGAGAUUCCCCAGCCAAAGACACACCCUAAUGAUCACAAUAUUGCUGACACUCACUUUCCUGGAGGAGACAACUUACAUGAACAUGACAACUUGCCUGGACGUGACAAUUUAACCGGAUGUGACAACUUACCUGAAAGUGGAAAUCCACUUGGAUGUGGAAGCCUAGAGGAGAGUGAAACCAUGGUGGAACACUCAAACACCGACAAUGAAAGCGAGAGUGACUCUAACUUACCCGAUGGACCUACCUGUGAUGGGCCAGUGGAAGAAGACAACUCAAGUGAUAAUCAAGCCAACUCAAGUCAGUCAAAUACUGAGAGUGAAGCCGCAGCGGCUGUAAGGCGCUCAGAGAGAACAAGAACCCAACCAGAACGACUACAAUAUAGUCAGUUGGGAAAUCCCCUCGUUUCCAUUGCUCAGUCCCUGUUUCAAGGUCUAAGCCUGGCUUUUACCAAUGCCUUGACAGAACAAGAUUCUGUGGUCAUCCCCAUUAAUGCGGGUUCCCCUGUCAUUACUGUUUAGCUAUCCCAUGCAAAGGGACUUGCAUGAUUCUAAGGGGGGAUAGUGUAACCCAGUGUUAAAAACGGGAUUAAAAGCAUAAAUAUGAAUACUCUUUUGAUUAAAAUGCUAAUUUCAUAAUGGUAAUAAAUAUUGAUAAAAAGAACUUAAAUAUAAUAAAUACUGAUAAAAAAGCGUGUAAACAUAAGUUUAAUUAAUAUGUACGUAUGUAUAUGUAAUAUAUAGAUGGUGUGGGGGCAGGACUUAGUUCUGUGGAGUGUGUUUGUUAGAUCCACUGAGCGACCAAUCAUUGGCGGUCUGACCCCUCCCCAG